GACACCUCUCCAAGUCCUUAUGGCAGCUUGCAUGUGAGAGCUCUGGGAGGAAAGUGGAUCUGUCACCCAGUCAUUCGAUAACUGCAUCAUUAAUAUUCCCCUAAAAUGGAGCAUGUAAGAAAGAAAUCUUAUUUGUGUUAAUUGUUAAUGCGUGAGACUUUUUGCGUCCUCACAUUUUAGUUCUUCAUUUAGUUUUUGUUAGAAACUAUUAACGUAGAUUGCUAGUUAAUGAAUUAUCUGUUAAAUAAUGAACCAUUGUGAUGGUUCAUGAAAAGUUGUGUUGGUUAGACCCAACCGUUUGUUUCUCCUGUAUAUAUAAAGUCUUGUGUAACUUUUAUGUGGUUGUUGGACGUAUUGAUGAUUAUAUCAAUAAAAAAAGUCUAUUUGGUGUUAUAUCUUAUCAUCAGCUUGAAAUUCUAUCUUUAUCCCCACCAAAGAGCCGGCAAUUCUAAAUCAAAAGGAUAUCUCGUUUCUUUCCUCAAAGAUGGCUACGAACAACAAUCUUUAUCAAACCCAAUUACCACAAAAUUAUCAUCACUGGAGUAUCUCCAGAUGAGGGUUUUGUAUGAAUCUUCGGAUCUAUGGAGUUAAUCCCACUGCACAGCAAGAAAAGGAUUUAAAGGGAUUAGAGAAGAAAGACAAGAUGGCGUUGUUCCUUAUCUACCAAGCGGUUGACUCUCCCAUCUUCGAGAGAAUAGCAGGAAGGCCUGGGAUACAUUGUAUAUAUAACGGUUAUAGGGGGAGAUGAUAGAGUAUAGCAUUUGCAAACCCUGCGUUGUGAAUUUGAUAGCCUGAGAAUGAAGGAAUCAGAAACCAUUGAAGAAUUUUACAACCAUGUGAUUGCCUUGGUGAAUCAAAUGAGAUUAAAUGGAGAAU
rnacentral:lncRNA from 1 species